rnacentral:rRNA from 1 species
UACGAAGGGGGCUAGCGUUGCUCGGAAUCACUGGGCGUAAAGCGCACGUAGGCGGAUUGUUAAGUCAGGGGUGAAAUCUGGAGCUCAACUCCAGAACUGCCUUUGAUACUGGCGAUCUCGAGUCCGGGAGAGGUGAGUGGAACUGCGAGUGUAGAGGUGAAAUUCGUAGAUAUUCGCAAGAACACCAGUGGCGAAGGCGGCUCACUGGCCCGGUACUGACGCUGAGGUGCGAAAGCGUGGGGAGCAACAGGA